rnacentral:lncRNA from 10 species
GGGUUGAAACUGUUACAAUUCAUUGAGGACCAUAUUCACUCAAUGUGAGAAAUGAAAAGAACAAAUAUUUGUUGGAAACCUAGUGUUUCAAAACUGUUAGCCUCGUGUAGGGGCAUUGAGCUAACAGUUUAUGUAUUUUAUUGAUUUACUCUUCACAAUGAUGCUAUGGGAUAUUACACACACAUAUCCACACAAACUGAGUCUCAGAGAAAUUAAAUAGCUUGCUUGGACCUGGUACCCAGCUAGGAUUUGAACAUGGGUCAUGAUAUGAUUUGGAUCUGUGUCCGCACCCAAAUCUCAUGUUGAAUUAUAAUUCCCAGUGAGGGAGGUGGGGCCUGGUGGGAAGUGAUUGGAUCACAGGAGUGGAUCCUUCAAGAAUGGUUUGGCACCAU